UGGGGAAUCUUGCACAAUGGGGGCAACCCUGAUGCAGCGACGCCGCGUGAGCGAUGAAGCCCUUCGGGGCGUAAAGCUCUUUCGACCGGAACGAUAAUGACGGUACCGGGAGAAGAAGCUGCGGCUAACUACGUGCCAGCAGCCGCGGUAAUACGUAGGCAGCAAGCGUCGUUCGGAGUUACUGGGCGUAAAGAGUGCGUAGGCGGUUUUCUAAGUUCGGUGUGAAAUCUCCCGGCUUAACUGGGAGGGUGCGCCGAAGACUGGGAAGCUGGAGUGUGGGAAAGGCAGGCGGAAUUCCUGGUGUAGCGGUGAAAUGCGUAGAUAUCAGGAGGAACACCGGCGGUGUAGACGGCUUGCUAGACCAUAACUGACGCUGAGGCACGAAAGCGUGGGUAGCAAACA
rnacentral:rRNA from 1 species